rnacentral:rRNA from 1 species
UGGGGAAUAUUGCACAAUGGGGAAACCCUGAUGCAGCGACGCCGCGUGAAGGAAGAAGUAUCUCGGUAUGUAAAGCUCUAUCAGCAGGGAAGAAAAUGACGGUACCUGACUAAGAAGCCCCGGCUAACUACGUGCCAGCAGCCGCGGUAAUACGUAGGGGGCAAGCGUUAUCCGGAUUUACUGGGUGUAAAGGGAGCGUAGACGGAUAGGCAAGUCUGGAGUGAAAACCCAGGGCUCAACCCUGGGACUGCUUUGGAAACUGCAGAUCUGGAGUGCCGGAGAGGUAAGCGGAAUUCCUAGCGUAGCGGUGAAAUGCGUAGAUAUUAGGAGGAACACCAGUGGCGAAGGCGGCUUACUGGACGGUGACUGACGUUGAGGCUCGAAAGCGUGGGGAGCAAACAGGAUUAGAUACCC